rnacentral:tRNA from 1 species
GCCGGAAUCGCCUAGUGGAAGGGCGGCAGCCUGCUAAGCUGUUUGGCUAGAAAUGGCCUCUGUGGGUUCGAUUCCCACUUCCGGCG